UGAGGAAUAUUGGGCAAUGCCCGCAAGGGUGACCCAGCAACGCCGCGUGGAGGAUGAAUGUCGUAAGACUGUAAACUCCUGUUAGAGGGGAAGAAUAGUACCGGUUGGACCGGUAUAUGACUGUACCCUCAGAGAAAGCCCCGGCUAACUACGUGCCAGCAGCCGCGGUAAUACGUAGGGGGCAAGCGUUGUCCGGAUUUACUGGGUGUAAAGGGCGCGCAGGCGGGAUAAAAAGUCAGUGGUGAAAUCCUACAGCUUAACUGUAGAACUGCCUUUGAUACUUUUAUUCUUGAGUUCGGGAGAGAGAGACGGAAUUCCAGGUGUAGUGGUGAAAUACGUAGAUAUCUGGAAGAACACCAGUUGCGAAGGCGGUCUCUUGGUCCGACACUGACGCUGAGGCGCGAAAGCGUGGGGAGCAAACA
rnacentral:rRNA from 1 species